rnacentral:piRNA from 1 species
CUCGCAAGGGGUUCCGUGGCUAAG